GAUGAACGCUGGCGGCGUGCCUAAUACAUGCAAGUCGAGCGAACGGACGAGAAGCUUGCUUCUCUGAUGUUAUCGGCGGACGGGUGAGUAACACGUGGAUAACCUACCUAUAAGACUGGGAUAACUUCGGGAAACCGGAGCUAAUACCGGAUAAUAUUUUGAACCGCAUGGUUCAAAAGUGAAAGACGGUCUUGCUGUCACUUAUAGAUGGAUCCGCGCUGCAUUAGCUAGUUGGUAAGGUAACGGCUUACCAAGGCAACGAUGCAUAGCCGACCUGAGAGGGUGAUCGGCCACACUGGAACUGAGACACGGUCCAGACUCCUACGGGAGGCAGCAGUAGGGAAUCUUCCGCAAUGGGCGAAAGCCUGACGGAGCAACGCCGCGUGAGUGAUGAAGGUCUUCGGAUCGUAAAACUCUGUUAUUAGGGAAGAACAUAUGAGUAAGUAACUGUGCACAUCUUGACGGUACCUAAUCAGAAAGCCACGGCUAACUACGUG
rnacentral:rRNA from 1 species